rnacentral:rRNA from 1 species
AUGGCGCGGGUACCCGUCCUCCUCCUCGCCCUCUUCGCCGCGGCCCUCGCGGCCGCCCCGGCGGCGGCGCUGGGCGGCCGCGGCGCGCGGGUCGGCGGGUGGGGCCCCAUCCCGGACGUGACGGACGCGCACAUCCAAGAACUCGGCGGAUGGGCGGUGGAGCAGCACGCGAGGCUGACCAGCGACGGGCUGCGGUUCCGCCGGGUCACGCGCGGCGAGCAGCAGGUCGUCUCCGGCAUGAACUACCGCCUCUUCGUCGACGCGGCCGACGGCUCCGGCAAGAGCGCGCCCUACGUCGCCGAGGUGUACGAGCAGUAUUGGACCAAGACCCGCCAGCUCACCUCCUUCAAGCCGGCGGCCAACUGA